CCUACGGGCGGCAGCAGUGAGGAAUAUUGGUCAAUGGGCGGAAGCCUGAACCAGCCAAGUCGCGUGAGGGAUUAAGGCCCUGCGGGUCGUAAACCUCUUUUGCCGGGGAGCAGAGGUCCGGACGUGUCCGGGCCGGGAGAGUACCCGGAGAAAAAGCAUCGGCUAACUCCGUGCCAGCAGCCGCGGUAAUACGGAGGAUGCGAGCGUUAUCCGGAUUUAUUGGGGUUAAAGGGGGCGUGGGCGGGCAUUUAAGCCGGCGGUCAAAUGUCGGGGCUCAACCCCGGCCUGCCGUCGGAACUGGGUGCCUUGAGUGGGCGAGAAGUAUGCGGAAUGCGUGGUGUAGCGGUGAAAUGCAUAGAUAUCACGCAGAACCCCGAUUGCGAAGGCAGCAUACCGGCGCCCUACUGACGCUGAGGCACGAAAGUGCGGGUAUCGAACAGGAUUAGAUACCCCAGUAGUC
rnacentral:rRNA from 1 species